AUACGUAGGUGGCGAGCGUUAUCCGGAAUUACUGGGUGUAAAGGGUGUGUAGGCGGGAAGGCCAGUCGGAUGUGAAAAUUAUGGGCUCAACCCAUAAAGUGCGACCGAAACUGUUUUUCUUUAGGGACGGAGAGGAAAUGAGAAUUCCCGGUGUAGCGGUGAAAUGCGCAGAGAUCGGGAGGAAUACCGGUGGCGAAGGCGAAUUACUGGACGAUAACUGACGCUGAGACACGAAAGCGUGGGGAGCAAACAGGAUUAGAUACCCUGGUAGUCCACGCCCUAAACGAUGAAUGCUAGGUGUAGGGGAGUCAUCUUCUGUGCCGCAGCUAACGCAAUAAGCAUUCCACCUGGGGAGUACGGCCGCAAGGUUGAAACUCAAAUGAAUUGACGGGG
rnacentral:rRNA from 1 species